CUGCUUUCGUGAUGAGCUUUAGCUUUAGCUUCUGUGGGAUGGGCCACUUCAGCCGCUUAAUGUUCGGAGGCGGCUGCCGCAUGCAAACCUCGCAGGAGGCAGCAGAGUGUGCUGUUCAAUAAGCAGUUAUUAUUAGUCUGGUUCUCUCCAAAAAAAAUCGAAGAGGAACACGUGGAAGAGGGAUGAUUUCUAGACUCUUUAUGCUCGUUGAAAGGAGCCCUUUGCAAGUGCUGAUGUGGGACCACAAAAAGACAUGAAGGGACAUGCUGCAGUUGUUUAAAGGCUAACAGGUGGGUAUAUAGAGCAGACCCUCAGCACGGCACAGGGAAGGUAUCAGCUGCAUGCUACCAAGUCCAGGAUUCAGUCCUUCAAAGUUCCUCCUCUCCUGCUAUCUGGCUAUGCAGGAGACAAAAGAAGAGGAAAACCCAGCCACUAAAAGAAGAUGAAAGCAGAUCUUGUGUUGCACCUGAUGGGGUAGCAGAGGAAUUGAAGAGUUCCAUCUAA
rnacentral:lncRNA from 1 species